ACAAAUGACACAGAUGCCCGUAAAGCCAGGAAGGCUCAGAUGAAAAGAGAUGAAGCCAUUGGGAAAGCGUUACCUGUUGCCAUAGUGCUUGGAGUUGCAGGGCUAGCUGGCUUGUAUUUCUACCUCAACAAUGCCUACUAGUGUGAGCAAGGAGCAUCAUGAGACUCCUCUUUUCUUCAUUCUGAAACUGGUCGAGUCAAUAUUAGUAUUCAUAAUGUACUGUCAUCUGUAACAACAGAAUAAGUUAAUGUACUUAUGUUUCCAAUUUCAAGUUGUGAGGUUUCUGUUAAA